rnacentral:rRNA from 1 species
UAACCAGCACCCCGAGUGGUCCGGGACGAUUGAUUGGGCCUUAAAGCAAUCCGUAGCCGGUACUGCAAGUCUUCCGUUAAAUCCACCUGCUCAACAGUUGGGCUGCGGAGGAUACUACAGCGCUAGGAGGCGGGAGAGGCAAGCGGUACUCAUUGGGUAGGGGUAAAAUCCACUGAUCCAUUGAAGACCACCAGUGGCGAAGGCGGCUUGCCAGAACGCGCUCGACGGUGAGGGAUGAAAGCUGGGGGAGCAAACGG